UUAGGACGAACGCUGGCGGCGUGCCUAACACAUGCAAGUCGAACGGAGUCUUGUGGAAGUUCCUCGGGAGCGGAAGCUUGGACUUAGUGGCGAACGGGUGAGUAACGCGUGAGCAACCUGCCUUUCAGAGGGGGACAACGGUUGGAAACGACCGCUAAUACCGCAUAAUGCAUUUUGGUCGCAUGGCUGGAAUGCCAAAGAUUUUAUCGCUGAAAGAUGGGCUCGCGUCUGAUUAGAUAGUUGGUGGGGUAACGGCCUACCAAGUCGACGAUCAGUAGCCGGACUGAGAGGUUGAACGGCCACAUUGGGACUGAGAUACGGCCCAGACUCCUACGGGAGGCAGCAGGUGGGGAAUAUUGGGCAAAGUGGGGGCAACCCUGACCCAGCAACGCCGCGUGAAGGAAGAAGGUCUUUCGGGUUGUAAACUUCUUUACCAGGGACGAAGGACGUGACGGUACCUGGAGAAAAAGCCACGGCUAACUACGUGCCAGCCGCCGC
rnacentral:rRNA from 1 species